rnacentral:ncRNA from 1 species
AUCGUAGCAUGAAAAUCCGGCCUUUUAUUACAAGUUAAAAGGGAAUCCAGUGUGAAUCUGGAGCUGACGCGCAGCGGUAAGGGUAGUCUGAACGAUAGCAUUAUGCAGACACUGUCUUGUUAAAGAUGGGAAGUCAUCGUUCUUUGUUGUUACGAAUCAUGGUUAUUACAAACGAUGUUUCGGCAAUUAACGUGACAGCGGCCCCAAGCCCGAAGACCUGCCGGUAUACGUCGCAGUGA